AAUCCGCCUGUGCGGCCAGGGCGUGGGAAGGCGCCCGCCCUCUCCUCUCUCCAGGAUGGAAGGAAACGAAGAAUGCCGCAAUGAAAACCGCUCUGCCCUCCCUCAUCUUGGCAGUGUUCGGUGCUCCUGCAGCUCGUUGCACCCACGGACGUGGGCUCUCACCGUGGAGCGGAAUGGGGGCAGAAGCGUGCCCUGCCCCACGGAGAGCCGGGGCUCGCCUGGGGCUGCUGGCAGUGCUCGGGGAGCGGGACGGGGUGGUGGCACGACUCGGCGGGGUGCCCCGCAAGCGCCACACCUACACCCUCCACUUUCCAAAGACCGGCUUCCCCGGGGAACCCCCACACUAAACGCCAGCGAACCGUCUCUCCGUGAAAGUCUUAGCCAGAAACUUUCCCCGCUCUGUCCCCAGUGCCACAGAGAGUCGUGUGGCUCAGGGCCGGCGCUGCUGGUCCAAGAGGCAAUUGGCGUCUUCUGCCCCUACCGUCCCCUCUCCGGGCCAAUUCUCACUUGCCCCUGAGACGCCAUUCCCGGCGCGGUGAGGUCGGCCCUGCCCUCGGGCGACUUCAGGCUGGACGCACCUGGGGUCGGAUCCCGGGAGGCAGGGCCGGCGGCUCCUUUGGGACCGCGCUGGCUCCCUAGGCGAGUCCUUUCUGCCUGGGGGAUGAAUGCUGAUCUAGAAAAGAAGCCAAUCAAAGUCAACAGCUUCCCGCCCUUCCUAACCGCCUCCCCUCUCCCUAUCUGAGCCCGUUCCCAAGUGGGUCGAAAGUUCUGUUCAAGAAUACUGACACCAAAGUUAAUUUCAGCAUAUAAUUUGGCGAUUUCAGGAUCUCCAAAGUUAUUUCAGCAUAUCCCAUAAUGUGCUGGAUCAGAAGGUCUUGUUUGGUUGCCUCUCUCCCUCACCCCCACACACCACAUACACACCCACAUACGUACCACACCCACACACAAAGUACACCACAUAGUACACACAUUACACAUACUUUAUGCUACACACUACACACACAACUUUUUAUCAGCAGAGGAUUGAUGUCAAACAUUUUGUUGGAGGGAGUGUGUGAAUACUAGUGUGUGUAUAUAUGUAUAUUUAUAUUCACAAGUGUCAGUUUACUACCAAAGUUAGAAACUAGCUGGUAAGUGAAACCUCCUGUUGUCAUAAUUUAGAGUGUCUUUGUGGCUCACUUUUUAUACCACGGGAUUAACUUCCUACAACACUUUCUGAAACUUUACUGUUGUGUAACAGGCAAACUUUUGAUCACAGCAGGCCAGAUGGGAGGGGAUGUCCCUUUGUACAUGUAGGAAGAGAUGCUUGGAAAAACAUCACAGAAUCCUUUCUCCUGCGGCUGUGUCUAAGGAAGAGCUGGGUGUAACUACAGUCUCUGCCUUUUCCCCCUCAAGAGUGGAGAGCUGAACAUGCUUUUGUUCUGAGCAGCACUGUCAGGACAACCCCAGCUUCCCAGGACACAGAACUCCCAGUCCAACUCGCUUCCAAUUUGGAUUUACUGGGAGAAUAGUUCAGGAAUUUCAGAUCAAGUCCAAAAGCAUUAUGGAAUCUGUUAGUGAAAGAGCUCUUUAUCUCGGUAAGAGUCCAUCAUUUUGAGAUCAGCACUGGUGAAAGAUCCACAUGCCUGACCCGUGCUCAAAAAUAGUGCUCAAAAAUAUUUAAUUGGUUCCUAGAUUACUAUUGUUUGCCUUUUCAAGGGAGCAAUGGCAAAUAUUUGAAAUCUUUCUCGGCAGUGAUCUUUAAGGAAGUCGAAAAUUUCUAAUAUAAUUCCUGGAAUAAGUAAAGGACCAAUUUUUGACCUUGAAAUUCGGGUUCCAAAUUUAGAUCAAAGUUGAUCUUCUAAUGUCCUAAAAGAUUAUUUUUAAAAAGGGAGGCAGGCAACUUUCUCCUCGGAUUCUACCUGAAUUCUACAGGAUAUUACAGCAACAGAUAACUUUUCCAAGAUCUUUCUGGGAAACCUGUGUUCUGUGUCCUGUUUUGAGUGGUUUUGUUGACCAUCUUGACCUAAAAGUGUACAAAUGUUGAUUGAUGUUUAUUUCAAUGAAGAGGCAACCAUGUAUGUUUUCUGUGUAUGUGCAGAACAUUUAUGGGAUGAGAUUAUUCCCCUGGAAAAGUGGUUUAAGCCAAGCACGGAAACUGUGAGAAUGACCAGGGUAACGUAAACAAAAGAUCUUGCCCAGCCUCUCUGCUCCACCUCCCAGUUUUCUGAUUUGGUAUUUAGGAUGAUGGCGGGAGAGACUAUGAAUUUUGGGGUGGGCAUAAUGUUUUUCUACUCAUAUGCAACUAAUAUAGUACCGGGUACUCAUAGAUGUUGCUGAAGUAAAGGAACCCUGCAGCCUUCCCAUGCUAUCUGUUGACAUGGAAAACAAGGAAAAUGGCUCUGUCGGUGUAAAAAAGUAAGUGAAGCUGGCUUCUGAGUUCUGCUUCUGCAAACAACAGAGGGACUUGGUUUCUAUUUUCGUACUUCUUGCUUAUCUACUACAAUACACAGUUCGGAGGUCGCCUUAGUUUGUCUACAUUGGCCAGCAACCUCCCUUCUCCCCCCUACCCCAGUUACCUUUUUCCGUAUUCCAUUUCUAAGACAGAGAUGACUCAGACAUCAAAAUAUAUAUGAAAGGUUUGUGUAUCAGGCUUUGGAACAAGGAUGGUUGAGGAUUUCAGCCCUGCAUUCUGUAUAUUGAAACAAAAACUCCAAGCAGAGACUCUUCCGUAGACAACACAGAAUGAGGGCAGAAAAUUGAGUUCGAAUUUUUUUUUUUUUUUUUGAGAUGCAGUCACCUCUAACUCUGAAAACUAAGAGCUAUAGUGCAGGAAGGGAAAAAGCUUCAGUAAGAAUAUAGAAUAUAGUUUAACAACUUCUCCGUCCUAAUUUUAUGAACUGUUUAAUGAAUGUGAAACAUUUCAGUGCAUACAUGGUGUUUAUGUUAAUGUCUGUUCUCACAUUUGAAACCUGUGUUUCUAUGUGUUGUGUAAGAGUUAUAUACUUGAUUCUUUUAAAUGGGAACAUUCAA